rnacentral:sRNA from 1 species
AAGAAAACUAAAGAUUAUCAAUAAAUUCUAAAACAAUUGAAUAAAUGUUAGUGAUGUUAGCCCAAAAGAGUUUAGAUCUAAGAGGCUACUGAAAGUAAGAGCAAGACGGCUACUUUAGGUAAUGUUUUGAGUGAACUUUGCUUUGUAUUAUUUCACUUAAUCUUUAGGUUACAACAUGGUUCCCUUUUAUAGCUAAACAAUGCUAGGGUUUCAAUGAUUGUAAACUGACAGCUGUCUCUGUCUUAUCAAGCUUCGGAGGUCACCAAACAACCAAAUCUGUUCUUUGUGUUGAUUGGAUCCGUACAGACGCUCCUCUUCUCUGUCUUCACUCUGAUUUGUUUUCUUGCACAGGUGGUGGUCUUGUCUGUUGAGAAGAGGAAGAACACUUGUUGGGCUUCGUUGUUGUGUUGGUUGUGUUGUCAUUGGGCCUGUUUGGUGAGUGGCCCAAUAACCAUUUUCCUUUGUUAAGCUGAGCGACGUCGUUUUCUUUCUUUGACUCUUUAGCUGAACUUGAGCUCUGCUUCGAUCUCAUUUCAGAUCUUGGAGCUGUUGAUGGCGGAGCAGUGGAGCUCUUGCUAAUAGCUACUACAACUAACCAUAAGUGAAAA